GACGCCGCGGGAAAAGCGGUCCUGUUAGGUGGUCCAGGUAGUUUGGGGCUGAGGCCGUCUCCUCAAGAGUAACCGCGGGCCUGUGCUACGGUCACGCCACCGGCCUCCGUUUCCUUUAGCCUCCUCUCUCACCAAACGAUUUUCCUGUCCAGUUAUAAAGUGCAAGUUGUUUCCCCAAGGAAGUGCAUUUUGGAUCAACACCUGUGGGAAAUGAGCUGUACUGCAUCCCAACAAAGACCUCAGCCAACCCCACAGCUGAGAUGGAGCAAUAGAGACCAGAUGUACCUUUCCCAGCUGAAAUAACUAAAAAGACAAGACAAAAUAUAUUAAAGAAUGGUUCUUGAGACACUGGACACCACACAGUGAAGAACAGUGAUCCCUGAGAGAUGAGAAACAAAUAAGAUCUUGGAAUGCUCCAGUCUUUUUGCAAAGUCGAUGAGUGGCUUCAGCACCGGGGAAGAAGCCCGAAAGGUGACCAGAUGGAACCUGCAUUCACAGUCUUCAAAGUUCCCUUUUGAAACAUAAGGAAGAGAAUGAAGGGGAGAAGGAUUUCACACUUUCGGGCUUACAAUCUGAAGGUGUCCGUUCCUACACUGGUCAGACCACUGUCCUUGGGGCAGCUGGGGUCUUUGGGACCCUCCACCGGGCUCGCCGGUCCGUCGGACUUUUGGCUGAGAUCCGUGUCAGACUCCUCCGAAUAGUCGUCUGUUGGCAUCGAGGGCUGAA